rnacentral:tRNA from 1 species
GGCAGUGUGGUCUAGUGGUUAGACCCCUGGAUUGGCACUCAGGAGGUCUGGGUUCUGGUCCCAGCCUGCCA